rnacentral:rRNA from 1 species
UACGUAGGUGGCAGGCGUUGUCCGGAUUUACUGGGUGUAAAGGGCGUGUAGCCGGGUUGACAAGUCAGAUGUGAAAUCCUGCGGCUUAACCGCAGAACUGCAUUUGAAACUGUUGAUCUUGAGUACUGGAGAGGCAGACGGAAUUCCUAGUGUAGCGGUGAAAUGCGUAGAUAUUAGGAGGAACACCAGUGGCGAAGGCGGUCUGCUGGACAGCAACUGACGGUGAGGCGCGAAAGCGUGGGGAGCAGACAGG